AGAGAGAGACAUGCGCGCAUAUCAAUAAGCGGAGGAAAAGAAACUAACAAGGAUUCCCCUAGUAGCGGCGAGUGAAGCGGGAAGAGCUCAAAUUUGAAAUCUUAAAGGGUUUCCCUUUACGAAUUGUAGUUUAAAGAAGUGUUUUCUGUUGAGGUUUUGGUAAAAGUUCUUUGGAAUAGGACAUCAUAGAGGGUGAGAAUCCCGUAUUUGACCUUUACUUUCAACUUUGUGAUACACUUUCAAAGAGUCGGAUUGUUUGGGAAUGCAGUCCAAAAUGGGUGGUAAAUUUCAUCUAAAGCUAAAUAUUGGCGAGAGACCGAUAGCGAACAAGUACCGUGAGGGAAAGAUGAAAAGAACUUUGAAAAGAGAGUUAAACAGUACGUGAAAUUGUCAAAAGGGAAGCGUUUGACACCAGUGUUGUUUUUCUGAAAAUCAAUUAAAGAACUGUUUAUGCUAAGCUUGUUUAGACUUUAUCAGCUAACUGUUUAGUUUUGAGCUUUUCUUUAAUGCACUUUUCAGUUAACAAGUCAACAUCAAUUUCUUUUGCUGUAAAAAAGCUUGAGGAAGGUGGCUUGAGAUUCGUCUUAAGUGUUUAUAGCCUCUUGCCUAUGCAGUCGGAGAGAUUGAGGUCUGCAGCGUAGAUCCUUCGGGGCUAAAUGCAUUUGUGCUAAGUUAUAGCAUUUUAUAGACAACUUGUUGACUAUGAUUUGUCUUGUAGCUUACUCGCUUAUGUUAUUUUACCUACGCUUAGGAUGUUGACGCAUGAGAUAUACGC
rnacentral:rRNA from 1 species